rnacentral:rRNA from 1 species
UACGUAGGGUGCAAGCGUUAAUCGGAAUUACUGGGCGUAAAGCGUGCGCAGGCGGCGCGUUAAGACAUGUGUGAAAGCCCCGAGCUUAACUUGGGAAUUGCGCUUGUGACUGGCGUGCUGGAGUGUGGCAGAGGGAGGUGGAAUUCCACGUGUAGCAGUGAAAUGCGUAGAGAUGUGGAGGAACACCGAUGGCGAAGGCAGCCUCCUGGGCCAGCACUGACGCUCAUGCACGAAAGCGUGGGGAGCAAACAGG